CCGGGGACCACAGGUUUCUGGUGGUUCGACUAGUAAGUUCGUUGUUACCGGUUCUUCAUUGAGUCACGUUAGUUAAUCACAUGCAGUCAUGUUAGUGUGCUAAGAAAUAAAGUUGUGUUUACCAUAGUGGGGAGAUUUUUAGUCUGAAGGUGUCCUAAGGCAAGUUGGCCUUACCAAGAACCCAACAAGUCUUAGGUACAUAACCUAAAUAGUUAUUGACGGAAUAAGCAGACUAAAUCCGGCGCGACACGAUGCUACGAACACCGUCCAACGUUGGAGGCUUGACGGUUCAUUGCAUCGUGUGGUCGACUUUCCAACUUAGAGCUAGGAAUGUCGAGCGUCCAACGUUUGCGUUGGAGCAUGUUCCGGCUUUUGUCGAUAUUUUUGAUCGAGUCAAAGGAAUCGCUGCAACGGUCGAAGAAAAACUUUCGUUGAUUUGAUCACGCACAGCGUCACGAUUCAUUCGAAAUAGUUUGCUUUUUAUAAAGUUUUUAGUGGAUUUAACCGCGUAGCUAAAAAUUGAAUUGAAAGUAUUGUUAAUUUCAUUCUACGAAGGGGUAUAUUUUUUUAAUUAUAAUUAUUGGUGAUUCAUCCCGUUAAACAUUUUAUAAAAUUUGUUUCAAAAACAUUAUUAGUGAUUAACGAGACUGGUAUUGGCAUUGCAAGACCAAGACCAACACUAUGUAUCCAACAACAAGACGCAAGACCAUACGGCUUAUACUAAUGUUUGGUUUGAAGUAGAAUUGAGCAACAAAUCACUACCUGUGAUUUUUCCACAGCGAUUAAUAAAUACCAAUGACAAUAAAUAAAAAUAUAAUCUAAAACGUGA